GACGAACGCUGGCGGCGUGCUUAACACAUGCAAGUCGAACGAAGAGCGAUGGAAGCUUGCUUCUCUCAAUCUUAGUGGCGAACGGGUGAGUAACGCGUAAUCAACCUGCCCUUCAGAGGGGGACAACAGUUGGAAACGACUGCUAAUACCGCAUACGAUCUAAUCUCGGCAUCGAGGAAAGAUGAAAGGUGGCCUCUAUUUAUAAGCUAUCACUGAAGGAGGGGAUUGCGUCUGAUUAGCUAGUUGGAGGGGUAACGGCCCACCAAGGCGAUGAUCAGUAGCCGGUCUGAGAGGAUGAACGGCCACAUUGGGACUGAGACACGGCCCAGACUCCUACGGGAGGCAGCAGUGGGGAAUCUUCCGCAAUGGACGAAAGUCUGACGGAGCAACGCCGCGUGAGUGAUGACGGCCUUCGGGUUGUAAAGCUCUGUUAAUCGGGACGAAAGGCCUUCUUGCGAACAGUUAGAAGGAUUGACGGUACCGGAAUAGAAAGCCACGGCUAACUACGUG
rnacentral:rRNA from 1 species